GGGUGCGAUCAUUACCAGCACUAAAUGCACCGGAUCCCAUCAGAACUCCGCAGUUAAACGUGCUUGGGCGAGAGUAGUAUCUAGGAGUGAGGUGACCUCCUGGGAAGUCCUCGUGUUGCACCCC
rnacentral:rRNA from 1 species